rnacentral:rRNA from 1 species
GGGGAAUUUUCCGCAAUGGGCGCAAGCCUGACGGAGCAAUACCGCGUGCGGGAGGACGGUUUUUGGACUGUAAACCGCUUUUCUCAGGGAAGAUGAUGACGGUACCUGAGGAAUCAGCAUCGGCUAACUCCGUGCCAGCAGCCGCGGUAAUACGGGGGAUGCAAGCGUUAUCCGGAAUUAUUGGGCGUAAAGCGUUCGUAGGCGGUGAAUCAAGUCGUUUGUCAAAGCAUGGGGCUCAACCCCAUAGGGGCAGAGGAAACUGGUUGACUGGAGUUCGGUAGGGGUGACAGGAAUUCCCAGUGUAGCGGUGAAAUGCGUAGAUAUUGGGAAGAACACCAGCGGCGAAAGCGUGUCACUGGGCCGAUACUGACGCUGAGGGACGAAAGCUAGGGGAGCGAAAGGGAUUAGAUACCCCUGUAGUC